rnacentral:rRNA from 1 species
AUUGAACGCUGGCGGCAGGCCUAACACAUGCAAGUCGAACGAGCGGCGGACGGGUGAGUAAUGUAUGGGAAACUGCCCGAUGGAGGGGGAUAACUACUGGAAACGGUGGCUAAUACCGCAUACUAUCAGAUGAGCCCAGAUGGGAUUAGCUUGUUGGUGGGGUAACGGCUCACCUAGGCGACGAUCCCUAGCUGGUCUGAGAGGAUGACCAGCCACACUGGAACUGAGACACGGUCCAGACUCCUACGGGAGGCAGCAGUGGGGAAUAUUGCACAAUGGGCGCAAGCCUGAUGCAGCCAUGCCGCGUGUAUGAAGAAGGCCUUCGGGUUGUAAAGUACUUUCAGCGGGGAGGCGUUACCCGCAGAAGAAGCACCGGCUAACUCCGUGCCAGCAGCCGCGGUAAUAC